rnacentral:rRNA from 1 species
GACGAACGCUGGCGGCGUGCUUAACACAUGCAAGUCGAACGGAAAGGCCCUGCUUUUGUGGGGUGCUCGAGUGGCGAACGGGUGAGUAACACGUGAGUAACCUGCCCUUGACUUUUGGAUAACUUCAGGAAACUGGGGCUAAUACCGGAUAGGAGCUCCUGCUGCAUGGUGGGGGUUGGAAAGUUUCGGCGGUUGGGGAUGGACGCGCGGCUUGUCAGCUUGUUGGUGGGGUAGUGGCUUACCAAGGCUUUGACGGGUAGCCGGCCUGAGAGGGUGACCGGCCACAUUGGGACUGAGAUACGGCCCAGACGCCUACGGGAGGCAGCAGUGGGGAAUAUUGCACAAUGGGCGGAAGCCUGAUGCAGCAACGCCGCGUGCGGGAUGACGGCCUUCGGGUUGUAAACCGCUUUCGCCUGUGACGAAGCGUGAGUGACGGUAAUGGGUAAAGAAGCACCGGCUAACUACGUG